rnacentral:lncRNA from 14 species
CUGUGACAGCCUGGCAUCACAUCCUGGUACCUGAAGCCAGCCGUUCGACAUGCUGGGUUUUGGGAGUGCAGGCAGGCAGCCAGCAGGGACCCUAUGUCACCGCCCACCUGCACACUGACGUGGCUAAAUCCAUCAGCGGUGCCAAGAACAAAGUGCUCUCCCUGUUGCUACAAUCCUCCAAGACUUGGGAAUAGGAACCACCCAGCACCCAGUGGAAGCAGCAGCAAAGCUGUACAGAAGCUCAGAGUGGGGGGAAAAUAAAAGGAGCACCACUCAAAGUGUGCGAGGGAGGCCGCAUGUCCCAGUGGGACAUGGCCGGGCUCACACCUAAAUCCCAGCUCUUCUGAGUGCUGCAGAAUCCCUGAGUAUCCCAAUUGCAGCAGCCCUGGGACUCCUCGGAUUCAGGAGACCUUGCAACCACCACACACUCAGCAAGGAGCGAGGAUACUCAUGGAGUUUGAACUCCAAGAUGUUGAACACCAGCCAAAAAACCCUCACCCUAAACCCCAAGUAUAAUCCAGAAAGCAAGGAAUCGGGGUAAGGAGUUAAACCCAUCAAAAGCCAUCUCUAACCAGCAGCUCCAACGUGAUCUCACGUGCCUGGGCUUCAUGAGGUCAUGAAAAAUGUUGCUCCUGGAGUCAGGACUGGGUGUCUGACAAAGCUGUCCCCUGCCUUCACAUUCACACCAAGUGCCAGAAGGGGGCAGAUUUGGUACUUAGCAGUGAUUCAGUAGCCAAUUUUCCCUAGUGAAGGCCCGUUUGGCAAUUGACAGCCCAAAUUCAUCGUGAGCUGUUGCAGGCAAGGAUGCUUCCCCCACCCUGAGGAUGCAAAACCACGGUAGGUAAGAAGGGUGCAAGUUCUGGCUCCUGUAAGGCCGGGGAUCUGCGGUAGGGAGAGCCAUAGCCUAACAAAAGCUGAUGGGCAAAAUGGCUCUUCAUCACCGCAAGUUCCGCUAGAGCUGAUUAGCACUUUCACCCGCUCCUGCCACUGGGGAAAAAAAGCAUUGGAGCUGCCACUUUUCAGCUUGUCCUUCAUCCAGAAAUGCUUCUUCCCACAUCCUGGGCCGUUCAUUUGACACUACAACUGCCCUCAGCGAUUGCACAGCGCACAGUGAUGGCGAAAGGGAGGAAGCUGGGCUAAAGAAACUAGAAGCAAAUAAGUGGUGUCCUGCAAUGGGACACAUGGCCUGAAGGGUAUGACAGCAACGCCCCACGAGACCGGAGCAUCUCCUGCGGCGCCGCGCUGCUCAGCUCCCGCAGGC